UGAGUGCGAGCUGCUACGGCAGCGAAGUUGGUGAUGUCAUGCUUCCAAGAAAAGCCCUAUACCCGUUAAGGCAUCAUGGCCUGUACCCGAAACCGACACAGGUGGGGUGGUAGAGAAUACCGAGGGGCGCGAGGUAACUCUCUCUAAGGAACUCGGCAAAAUGGCCCCGUAACUUCGGGAGAAGGGGUGCCACCGCAAGGUGGUCGCAGUGAAGAGGCCCAGGCGACUGUUUACCAAAGACACAGGUCUCCGCUAAGUCGCAAGACGAUGUAUGGGGGCUGACGCCUGCCCAGUGCCGGAAGGUUAAGGAAGCUGGUCAGCGCAAGCGAAGCUAGCGACUGAAGCCCCGGUGAACGGCGGCCGUAUCUAUAACGGUCCUAAGGUAGCGAAAUUCCUUGUCGGGUAAGUUCCGACCCGCACGAAAGGCGUAACGAUCUGGGCGCUGUCUCGGAGAGAGGCUCGGCGAAAUAGAAUUGUCUGUGAAGAUGCGGACUACGUGCACCCGGACAGAAAGACCCUAUGAAGCUUUACUGUAGCUUGGUAUUGUGCCCGGGCUCGCAAUGCGCAGGAUAGGUGGGAGGCUUUGAUCAUCGGCUUGCGGGUCGAUGUGAGCCAACGGUGAGAUACCACUCUUUGCGAGCUAGGGUUCUAACGGCCACCCGUCAUCCGGGGGCCGGACAGUACCUGGUGGGCAGUUUGACUGGGGCGGUCGCCUCCUAAAAGGUAACGGAGGCGCGCAAAGGUCUGCUCAGGCUGGUUGGAAAUCAGCCGACGAGUGUAAAAGCAGAAGCAAGCUUGACUGUGAGACCAACAAGUCGAACAGGGAGGAAACUCGGCUUUAGUGAUCCGACGGUUCUGAGUGGAAGGGCCGUCGCUCAACGGAUAAAAGUUACUCUAAGGAUAACAGGCUGAUCUCCCCCAAGAGUUCACAUCGACGGGGAGGUUUGGCACCUCGAUGUCGGCUCAUCGCAACCUGGGGCUGAAGUCGGUCCCAAGGGUUGGGCUGUUCGCCCAUUAAAGCGGUACGCGAGCUGGGUUCAGAACGUCGUGAGACAGUUCGGUCCAUAUCCGGUGCACGCGCAGGAAUAUUGAGAGGAUUUCUCCCUAGUACGAGAGGACCGGGAGGAACGCACCUCUGGUGUACCAGUUAUCGUGCCAACGGUAAACGCUGGGUAGCCAUGUGCGGAGUGGAUAACCGCUGAAAGCAUCUAAGUGGGAAGCCCACCUCAAGAUGAGUAUUCCCAUGGCGUAAGCCAGUAAGGUCACGGGAAGAACACCCGUUGAUAGGCUCUAUGUGGAAGCGCAGUAAUGCGUGAAGCAGAGGAGUACUAAUAGACCGAGGGCUUGACC
rnacentral:rRNA from 1 species